GGAGGCGGCACCUGGAGGUGGAGGGUGUCGCGAUGGGCGGGGCGCAGCGCUGGCGUUUCGCUAGGUGACUUGGAUCCCCUGCAGUUUUGCAGAAUGCUGCUGUCUACUGACUCUAAAAUGGACUACAUUUAAAGAACCCCUUGGAUCAUUCAUGGACAAAAACAUGAAUCAUGUAUUGUGGCAUUCAAAUCCUAGCACUUUGGGAGAGCAUCAAGUACCAAGUUUUUGAAGACCUUGGCCUUCCAUCAAUAUGCAUUCAAGAUUUGAGUUUGAAUAACCUCAUCAAGACUUAGAUCUUCUUCAAAAGCUUCAAGUCUCAUCUGCAUUAGAGCUCUCCAUUGAACCC